CACCUGAAGGCUUUGCAGCUAAGGAGCAAACAGCAUGACAUCAAAACACACUAGAUCUGGAGCUCCUGUGCUGGGCAGAAAGCUGGGAAACACAUGGAUGUAUGUGGGGUUUUUUUAAACUAUGGUAGGGGUUAGAAGGGACCUCUGGAGAUCAUCUUGUCCAACCCCCUGCUUGAGUAGGCGGGCUCAUUCUGUAUGGGCUCUGAAUCCUUGCAGAGAUCCGAGAAGCUCUGAUCAACCCAUCUAACAAAGCAAACGAGGAAGUGUGAUGUAGCUCUGGAGGAGCAGGAGUCCUGGUUGGUGGUACUGGAGAGGGACCUGCCAGAUGAUGACUCUGAAGACCUCAUAUAUGAGGUAUGACAUUCUGGCUGCUGAGCAGAUUUGUUCCUUGGGGCUGAGCAAUUUGGAGAUAAUUGCCUUUAGUCUCUGUGCCCCUGGUAGAUGGGGAAUGUCUACAUGAAUAUGCAGAGGAGCCUGUGCAGGGAGCUGUAAAGAGGUCUCCUUUAUUGUACAUCCUUUGAGGGCUGCAGACUGUCCAAAGAUCACUUGAACAUCACAUCAUCAGUGUCUGAAAAGCGUGGGUGCUCUCCUUGUCCCGUAAUGCUGAAGUUUCCCUUUGGUUGAUUGUUCCUGCAAAGCAGCACCUCUGUCACCCUUGGCUGUGGCUCCCAGUGCUAUCAGGAAUGGGGCCAGUGAAUCCCUCCUCAGACUGCCUCUUCCCCCCCCCCAGCCCUCAGAUGUGGAAACAGAUAGUGAGGAAUACAUGUUCCAGAAUGACCACAGGAGACCUGGAGCUUGAAGAGCAGGAUGACACCAUUAUGCUGAAGGAACCAUCAGACCUCCAGGGCAAGCAGGGACCCUGACGCAAGGACCUGGACCUCUGCUGUGGCUGCAAAGUGCCUGCUUCUCUGGGGUGACUGUGUCCUUGAGUAAGCUGUCUAGUUAAAUGCUAUGUUGAUAUUUUUUGAACUUUCUAAUAAAACUACCUUAUUUUUUCAUGUGAA